rnacentral:rRNA from 1 species
AUACGAAGGUCCCAAGCGUUACUCGGAAUCACUGGGCGUAAAGAGUACGUAGGCGGUUUGGUAAGUCAGGUGUGAAAUCCCGAAGCUCAACUUCGGAACUGCAUCCGAUACUGCCAGACUAGAGUAAUGGAGAGGCAGGUGGAAUUCUCGGUGUAGCAGUGAAAUGCGUGGAUAUCGAGAGGAAGACCAAUGGCGAAGGCAGCCUGCUGGACAUUUACUGACGCUGAGGUACGAAGGCUAGGGGAGCGAAAGGGAUUAGAAACCCCAGUAGUCC